rnacentral:rRNA from 1 species
GCUUAGAGAGGGGUCAAUGUCCUAUCAGCUAGUUGGUAGGGUAAUGGCCUACCAAGGCUAAGACGGGUAGCCGGCCUGAGAGGGUGGUCGGCCACACUGGGACUGAGACACUGCCCAGACUCCUACGGGAGGCUGCAGUCGAGAAUCUUUCGCAAUGCCCGAAAGGGUGACGAAGCGACGCCGCGUGUGGGAAGAAGGCCUUCGGGUUGUAAACCACUGUCGGGAGUUAAGAAAUGCAAGGGUGUUAAUAGCAUCCUUGCUUGACUAAGGCUCCGGAGGAAGCCACGGCUAACUCUGUGCCAGCAGCCGCGGUAAUACGGAGGCGGCAAGCGUUGUUCGGAAUUAUUGGGCGUAAAGAGCACGUAGGCGGCUUUGUAAGUCAGUUGUGAAAGCCUUCUGCUCAACGGAAGAACAGCAUCUGAUACUGCAAGGCUAGAGUGCGGAAGGG